rnacentral:rRNA from 1 species
AUGACCCAACCAAAAUUCAUGGGAGGUUUGGGUUUUCGAGACUUCGAAUUGUUAAAUUUGGCUCUUCUUGCAAAACAGUCAUGGCGCCUGCUCCAAAACCCACAGUCACUCUGCGCCAACAUCUUCAAAGCUACCUAUUAUCCCAAUCGUACUAUACUUUAUGCUGAGUUGGGAACAAAACCUUCGCAGGUGUGGCGCGCUAUAAUGGAGGGUAGAGAUGUGCUCAACCAGGGUCUUAUAAGGAGGAUAGGGAAUGGAAAUACAACGCCCAUAUGGGAGCACAAUUGGUUACCCAAUGAGGUGAUGAUGAGGCCGAUUGCAUGUAUAACAAAUGACCCGCAAGUUUUGGUAAGUGAAUUGAUAUAUCAUACCAGCGCCGCUUGGAGGGUCAACCUGUUACAACAAGUUUUUUUGGCGCUAGACAUUAACACAAUUCGGAGCAUCCCCAUGUGUACUAGGAAUAUGGAUGAUACCUGGGCAUGGAAUUAUGGAAAGCAUGGUAGAUUCACUAUCAGGUCGGCUUAUCGCAUGUUGGCAGAUACUAAGAGGAGGAGGGAGGACUAG